UGUCGUCAUUUGAAUGGGCGUGUCUAAGUCAUUUAUUGUUAAACUCUUUCUUCUUGCUGGUUUUAGCCUUCACAGAGCGGCACCGAAUCCAACAACAGCCCUGUCUACCUGUGAGAGAGGGAAAUGAAAAGGAGGCUACAGAAGAAAUACUUCAUUUUAAUUCUAGCAUAUUCCGUGUUACUUCUGUUAAUUCCGUAUAUGCUGGACUACAGGAGUAAAUUAGGGCAUAUUAAACAUGGCAAGCAACAGCCGAGGUGCCCCGACCUCGAUGUGUGGAAUAACGGGGACAAGUUCAGCAACACUACGGGUACCGUGGAAGAGACGGUAGUCAACAGGAGCCAGUCUAAAAUACACGUUUAUUUACAUGCUACAUGGAGGACGGGGUCAUCGUUCUUAGGAGAGUUAUUCAAUCAACACCCCGAUGUGUUUUACCUCUACGAGCCCAUGUGGCAUAUAUGGCAGGCUCUCUAUCCAGGAGAUGCGGUCAGUCUGCAAGGAGCCGUGCGUGAUAUGAUGAAGGCGUUAUUACGAUGCGACUUCUCAGUUUUAAAACUGUACACAGGGAGCCAAAAUAUCACCACGUCUUUUAUAUUUGGAUGGAGAAAGAACAAAGUGAUCUGCUCGGAACCUCUAUGCGAGGCGUACAAGAGAAACGACGUGGGAUUAAUCCAAGAUGACGUCUGUGGAAAGUGUCCAAGGAAAGAUAUCAAAGAGUUGGAGAGGGAGUGCAAGAAGUACCGCGUCGUGGUAAUCAAAGGUGUGCGGGUUCUGGACCUCGGUGUACUCGUCCCGUUAAUGAGAGAUCCCGCUUUAAAUCUCCAGAUCAUUCAGUUGUUUAGAGACCCGCGGGCAGUGCACAAUUCACGACUGAAAUCGAAACAAGCUCUGGUCAAGGAGAGCAUACAGGUACUGAGGAGUAAAAAACAGACGGAGAAAUACAAGCGUCUACUGGUGCCAAACAACAGGGGGAACCGGGCAGAGAAUUAUGUCUCUAGCGCAAUGGAGCUAAUAUGUGACAACUGGCUGAACGACAUGAUGCUCAUGAUGAACGCGCCCCCCUGGGUGAAGAGGAAUUACAUCAAGAUCCGCUACGAGGACUUGGUUCUACACCCCAUGGAGGAACUCAGGAGACUCUACAGCUUCUCCAAACUCUCCUCCUUUCCUGCCAUGGAUAAGUUCGUGUUGAACAUGACCCACGGACACGGUUACUCCUCAGACAAACCGUUUGUAAUAUCGUCCAGGGACGCUAAGGAAGCCAUCUUCGCAUGGAGAGAGCGGUUGAACGUUGAGCAGAUCUCCCAAGUGGAAGACUACUGCAGUGAGGUCAUGAGACAACUGGGCUAUCAGAAGAACAGUGUGGAUCAAACAUAGACAUUACAGCAUCAAGAUGGAGGAAAGGGCUACAUCGGCUUGGAAAUGUCUGUUUGGCAAUGAUCAACAACCAACUUGACAGAGCCUGAAGAAUGGCUUACCAAGAAAAACUUACAAAAGGACUAAUUCAAGGUGCCUGAAAUUGAUGGGAGAAACUACGAUGUCAGGACUGGUGCCAAGGGAAGAGGAACUGAGAAGCAGCUAGACUGUUAUAGGGUCGGUUUUCUUCAGCCAAUCCUGUAUGAACUGAAGCAGAGAGGAUACACAGGGAGGGAGUCUGUCACGGGCUGGACAGAAGCAUGUCAACAUGAAGAGGACUUAGAAGAGGGACAGAAUUGAGCUUGAGAUGCUAAAAUGAGUUGUGCUUCCUGUUUGUGGAUCUGUCAAAAGUGUUUGAUACUGUUUUUUUUAUUGAACAAGUUGUCCUCCACUGGCCUGAGCUCAUGACAUCAAUCACGAAGUCCUGAGUCCGAAUUUCUUGAAGUACGUAAAGGUGUUCCCCAGGGAUCGAUACUAGAACCUGCUCUGUUCAUUAUUUAUAUAAAUGCUAUUGGUAAAUUUGUUUAAUAAAAUAAUUAAACUCCUGUUUAAUACGGGGGCAACUACA